ensembl:lncRNA
GGUUGAAGUCCUGGUCUGUGGACCCGAGAGAACAUUCGAGGGGACCUGGGACAUUGCAGGGGAAGGAGUGUACGAUCCGGUACCAAACCAAAGUGGUUCCAAAGCUCUGCUGCUGAGAGGCUGUGAGAUUGGAUGCGGACGUACAGAUAAGGAGCUCAGAGUCAGGCAAGGGCGGAAUGACACUCAUCGGUUCCAAAGCAUCUUUCACCUACCAGGCAGAGGGCCCUUUGCUGUUGGUCUUUCUUGGACCAUUCCAGAGAGGUAGGUUGGGCAAAGGAAACAAGUAGGGAGGGGGAAGAAGAGAUGUUAUUUUUUAGAUAGGCUAGGAAUUUGAAUGGAAUCCCUCCUCCGUAACUAUCUAGCCAAAGGAGAACAUCUCUGUAGGACUGGAAUGCUAAAAGGAAGACAGUGACCCACAUUUGUUCUGGGAGCUGAUGGAGGGGGAUGUGAACUAGAUCCAGGCCAGCCUCCCAAGAGAAGGAUGCUGCUGCCUGGGAAGGAUGGGAAAGAAGGGAUGGCUUUGCUCCAAGGAGCCCUGGAGCCCAUUAUUAAGCUGCACCAUUUGGUAUUUGACUUGGUCCAUUCAUGGUAGAGUUGGGCUGGCCUCUUUGGCGAGAGAAAAAUUAAAAUAUUCUUCCAAAGGAAAUGGAUUGGAGUUUCAUAACUCGAUAUUGCUUCUCAAGGAGUCCUUAGGGACAUUGUUUCUCUGGAGAGUUGGCAGUCACUGUAUCAGUGAGAGGCUGCUCCUUGGAACUUCUAGGACAUUAGCUUGGAUGAUGAAUGUAGUCCUUGCAUUGUGCAAAUGAGGAAACUGAGGCCAGAGGCUGACGUUGGCAAAAUAUCCCCCUUUGGUGUUUGGCAGUAACUGGGGAUGGCGAGCACACUCCCAGGUUGGUAGGCCAGCAGCUCCGUUAGUGAGCCGUGAGGUUCACCUGUAUUCUGUGGAUGCACAGCCUUGUCCUCCUUAUACAGACGCUGGAGCAUCUACUCUCAUUGUUGAUGGUUCCAGUGGGGCUCAGAGUUAGAGCUUCCCCACUACCCCCAACCUCAUUUUUUCUAGAUCUUCAUUGGUACUUUCAAACUUUUUGUUAGUUUGGAUCUCUGUAAAAAGAUCAAAAUAUUGGAGUUCCCAUUGUGCCACAGUGGGUUAUGGAUAUACGGCGUUGUCUCUGCAGCGGUGGUGGCUGCACAGGUGUGGGUUCCAUCCCCAGCCUGGCACACUGGGUUAAAGAUCUGGUGUUGCUGCAGCUGUAGCAUAGGUCACAGCUGCGGUUCGGAUUCGAUCCCUGGACCAGGAGUUUCCAUGUGCUGCAGGUAUGGCCAAAAAAAAAAAAAAAAGUCAAAGUAGUAAGCAGAAUUUUAACCUCUAAGGCUAAUUGAAAGAGUGCCACUGUAGUAUAAGUGAGACUGGACUGGAACUUCCACUCAGCCCCCUGUCCCACUCCUGACACCUUCUCAAGGCUUUGGGGUACUUCUGUGGAACCCCAGAACUCCCUGGAACAUAGGCAAGAACCAUGGAUUGUGUAGACCUGCUUUGGGGGAUUAGAGUUUCUUCUACAUACCUGUUUAUGCUCUUUUUUUUUUUUUUAAUUGAAGUACAGUUGACUUACAGUGUUGUGUUAAUUUCUCGUGUACAGCAGAGUGAUUCAGUUACACAUAUAUACAUUCUUUUAUAUAGUCUCUCUCUUUUUUUGGCCACACCUAUGGCAUGCGGAAGUUCCUGGGCUAAGGACUGACUCUAUGCCACAGCAGUGACCUGAGCCACAGCAGUGACAACACCAGAUCUUUAGACUGUUGGGGUACCAGGGAGCUCCUACGUUCUUUUCCAUUAUGGUUUAUCACAGGCUAUUGAGUAUAGUUCCCAGGGCUCUACAGUAUAUGUAUACACUUGGCGUCUGCUAACACCAAAAGCCUGCUCCAUUUCCUUUCCCAGUCCAUCCCCCUUGGCAAACAUAAGUCUGUUCUCUAUGUGAGUCUCUUUCAUAGAUAAGUUCCUUUGCGGCGUAUUUUAGAUUCCACCAGUAAGUGGCUUUCUAGUGGUAUUUUCUUUUUCUGUCAAGACUUACUUUGCUCAGUAUGAGAAUCUCUGGGUCCAUCCAUGUUGCUGCAAAUGGCAUUAUAUUAUUCUUUUUUAUGGCUGAGUUGUAUUCCAUUGUGUGUGUGUGUGUGUGUGAAUACAUACCAUAUCUUCUGUAUCCAUUCAUCUGUCAGUGGACUUUUAGGUUGUUUCCAUGUCUUGCCUAUUGUCAAUUGUGCUGAUAUGAAUACAAGGGUGCAUGUACCUUUUUGAAUCAUAGUUUUGUCCAGAUAAAUGCCCAGGGCAUCUGGGUCAUAUGGUAGUUCUAUUUUUAGUUUUUUGAGGAAGCUCUGUACUGUUUCUUAUAGUGGCUACAACUUACACUCCCACCAACAACAUAGAAGACUUCCCUCUUCUCCACACCCAGCAUUUGUUAUCUGUGUGUGUAUAUCUUGAGUUGUGUUUCAGAAGAUGCCUUUUAAUAAUGAUUUUUAACUGUCAUACUUUUUUUUUUUUUUUUGGUCUUUUUGCCUUUUCUAGGGCCGCCCCUGCGACAUGUGGAGGUUCCCAGGCUAGGGGUCUAAUCAGAGCUGUAGCCACCGGCCUACACCAGAGCCACAGCAAUGUGGGAUCCGAGCAGCGUCUGUAACCUACACCACAGCUCAUGGCAACGCUGGAUCCUUAACCCACUGAGCAAGGGCAGGGAUCGAACCCGCAACCUCAUGGUUCCUAGUCGGAUUCGUUAACCACUGCGCCACGAUGGGAACUCCAAACUCUCAUACUUUUUUACUUGUAAAGGAUACCUACUUACUGUUGAAAAUUUACAAAAUACGAAAAAAAAAAAA